ensembl:lncRNA
AUGGGACCGGGAGAGGGACUCCUGGAGGAAGAGGAGGAAAGGGAGGAGGGGGAGAGCAGGGGAGCCGGUGGAGCAGGGGGAAGGAGAGGAGGGAGCAGGGAGGAGGGAGCAGGAGGAGAGCCGGCUGCCCCACUUCCGAAGCAGGGAGGGCCCAGGGGCUGGGCCGGGCCUUCCAGGAGAGAACCUUUGCCAAGUACUGGGAGCCGCCGGGCGGUCUCGGGAGGAGCGGACGCCGAGGGCCGGCCCGUGGGAUGGGAAACUGGAGGCAGUGGGAGGGCCGCAGAGGAAGCUCCGCCAGGAGGCGGGAGACGCGAGCCGGGCAGGCGCUGGGCACCGGGAGGGCGGGCCUGCGGGAGGCGGGUCCGGGCGCCGGGGAUGCCAGGGGUGGGCUGGGAGGAGGGGGCGGAAAGACCCGGCGAAGCAGGAGCGCGGGGGCCGGGCGGGCGGCCUGCGGGAACACGUCGGGCCGGCCCGGGCGGCCCGGGACAGGAGCCGCGGCUGCCCUGGGCACCCUGCCAAGAGCGUGUCGGGGCUGUGCCCACCCCUCCCCCGGUCCCAGCCCCCCGCCCCCGAGAAGACAGACUCGCAGACGGACGGGGACAGACGCUGGGUCUGGGACAGGGAGCUGCCCCUGCGUGGGGGGGCGGGGGGAGUGAGGCGGAGAAGCCCUCCCUUACCUGGCCGCCCGGGCCGCGGCGGGACUGCAGGACUGCCCCGGGCCUGGAGUCUCCGGACUUUCGGGGGUCCGGGCUGGCGGCGGGGACGCCUCGGGAGCCGGGCAGACGCGGGACCAAGCAGCCGAGGCGGCGGCGCCCGGGGUUCGCGGCCGAAGCCGAGGCGGGGAAGCAGGGCGAGAAGCCCCCCAAGGUCUCCCCGAGCCGGGCCCUCGCGAGCUCCGCUCUGCCCAGCCCGGCCGCCGCCACCCCUUCUCCUCCUUCCUCCCGGCCCGGGCUCCGCCGGGGCCCCGCACACACCGGCGUCUGCAGGAGGAAAAGGGUGUCUCAUUUCCUUCAACCUCCAGUCACCCGGCCCCCCCUCCCCGCCCCAGGCCUGCCCCCCCUCCCGGGAAAGAUUCCCCAGUGGGAGGGGGAAGGGAGGGGAGCCGCCCCCCGGAAGGCUGGGACCGCCCGCCCGACACCAAGUUCAAGCUCACCGAGCGAAGGAGGCGGGAGGAAGAGGAAACCCGAGAGAGGAGGGCGGGGGCGGAGGGGGCCCGACGGCCCGGGACAAGAGGUUGGGGCCGGACCGCCCCCGCCCCUCCGGCUCGGCUUGGCCGGGACCGCGGGGCGCGCGGGCCGGGCCGGACCCGGACAAAGGGAGAACGGACCCGGGCGCCCCGCCAGGCGAAGGAGGCGGCUGACCCUCAGCAGCGGCGCGGGGGGCUCCGGAGAGUGGGGGUCUCGUUCCUGGCCCGGGCCGGGAGGGCUUGGACCCGGGGAGAGCGAGACGCGGACUGACGGCCGGCACACAGACCCCCGGGCUGGGGACCAGGGUCCGGCCCCGGCCCAGCCCCAAGUUCUCGGCGCCGUCGCUUCCAAAUUAGGCUUGGAGAGGCUUCCACCGGCAGCAGAGGGAGGGAGGUCCGGGGCGGCUUCCCGAGCAAGGGGGCACCGUUCUCAACGGCAGGCUCUUCAACCUGUCAUUCAAGGCCUUUCCAAUGGCAGCUCCUCAGCCCCCAGUAACCCUUCCUCAGGUUGCCACCCCCCCGUGUUUUCCCUCCCGGCCCAGUCAAGGUCCCUAAACUGCCUUUUCCGAGAAACCUCGAUUUUUGAUUCUGGCCCGGGCCGGCGCCCCCUCAGGCUGUCCCCUGGCCACCCAUCCAGGGCAGCGUUACAGCUCCAGCUUCCAGACCUUUGUCCCAGGCUCCCCCCCCCCCCCCCCCCCCCCCCCCCCCCCCCCCACCCCCCCGCACCUGGAAGUUUACUUUUGCAUCUCUGA